rnacentral:rRNA from 1 species
UACGAAGGGGGCUAGCGUUGCUCGGAAUCACUGGGCGUAAAGCGCACGUAGGCGGAUCUUUAAGUCAGGGGUGAAAUCCUGGAGCUCAACUCCAGAACUGCCUUUGAUACUGAGGGGCUUGAGUCCGGGAGAGGUGAGUGGAACUGCGAGUGUAGAGGUGAAAUUCGUAGAUAUUCGCAAGAACACCAGUGGCGAAGGCGGCUCACUGGCCCGGUACUGACGCUGAGGUGCGAAAGCGUGGGGAGCAAACAGG